rnacentral:lncRNA from 1 species
CGGACAUUGACCAAAGGACAAUCAGUUCAGGAUCAUUGUUUGACAAUGAUCAAAGACUCGGAUGAGCUUGAGAAGCUUAGUAUGUCCAAGCAUAAGGAAUUAUGAAUGGAUUUGAUCCUAUAGUUCUUUACUAGUUUAUAUGGACAGUUUAUAGUAAACUACUAUAUGAAUAAAAUGAUUGUACCUUGGUUGAGUUGGUGACUACUGAUGGGACCUUGAAGAGUUCAAGGGG